rnacentral:rRNA from 1 species
AGCGAACGCUGGCGGCAGGCCUAACACAUGCAAGUCGAGCGCCCCGCAAGGGGAGCGGCAGACGGGAGAGUAACACGUGGGAACGUACCCUUCAGUUCGGAACAACCCAGGGAAACUUGGGCUAAUACCGAAUACGUCCGUAAGGAGAAAGAUUUAUCGCUGAGGGAUCGGCCCGCGUCUGAUUAGCUAGUUGGUGAGGUAACGGCUCACCAAGGCGACGAUCAGUAGCUGGUCUGAGAGGAUGAUCAGCCUCACUGGGACUGAGACACGGCCCAGACUCCUACGGGAGGCAGCAGUGGGGAAUAUUGGACAAUGGGCGCAAGCCUGAUCCAGCCAUGCCGCGUGGAUGAUGAAGGCCCUAGGGUUGUAAAGUCCUUUCGGCGGGGAAGAUAAUGACGGUACCCGCAGAAGAAGCCCCGGCUAACUUCGUGCCAGCAGCCGCCGUAA